GGGUGUAGCUCAGUGGUAGAGCACUUGCCUGACACACAUGAGGUCCUAGGUUUGAUUCCCAGCACCUUCG
rnacentral:tRNA from 1 species